AUUAUUAUUAUUAUUAUUAUUGUAGAGCCAGAGGAGAAAAGUAUUGAUUCUGAUGGGAGUGGAAAUACUUGCUUUUACUCUAUUUACUUUUUUCUUUUUUUUAUUUUUUUUUUAGGAAACCAUAACCAAGUCAAGUCGUCGCUUGAUCAAAGUGAGCCUGAGCCGUAUAGAAGGAUUAAGGAAGAGUGCAGAGAUUGGCUGUAAGGAAAGACAAUAUAAAGUAGUUAGUGCAGUGAAUACAAUUCACAAGCGUGAUAAAGUCAAUACAGUGAUAGGUUGGUGAUUGUUAAUGAGAAUUUAACAAUCCAUUCAGGCUUCCUUUUCCACAUCCUGCAAUAUAAUUUUGGGUUUGGGGCUUCCUUUUCCACAUCCUGCAAUAUAAUUUUGGGUUUGGGGCUUCCUUUUCCACAUCCUGCAAUAUAAUUUUGGGUUUGGGGCUUCCUUUUCCACAUCCUGCAAUAUCCCAUCUCAACUCCUCAUGAAUCAAACUUGCGAAUAGUAUAACCAUGCGCUGUAUAGAUUUUGUUUGUCUUAUUUUCCAUCUUCUGAUUGGCAUCAACCUUGCCAAUGCUCUGUUGAAAUGUUAUAACACAGGAAACUUCACAGCCAAAGGUACAUACGCCAAUAACCGAGCUCUCAUCCUCUCUUCUUUAGCUUCAAACGUCACAGCGAAUGGAGGUUUCUACACCACUACUGUAGGCCAAGGGGCGGAUAAAAUUUAUGGUCUGGUGCUUUGCAGAUUUGACUCUUCAUCAGAAGAUUGUUCCAAAUGCGUCAAUGUUGCAAUUGAAGAUAUAACCACAAAAUGUCCUAACCAGAAAGAAGCACUGAGAUGGGAUGGGGAUCCUCCUUGCAGAAUACACUACGCGAAUCGCUCAUUUUUCGGACAGCCGGAGAUAGAACCCACCGAUGCUGGUUAUAAUACCGGUAACCUUCCGUCUAAUAUUAAUAUGUCUGAGUUUGAUCAGACUUGGACUAGUUUGAUGGCAAGCUUAGCAACGAAAGCUUCUAAGUCCAAUUCUACGCUUAAGACUGCGACAGAAGAAGCAGACGUCAAGCCCCUUGAAAGAAUAUUUGCACUAAUGCAGUGUACUCCUGAUUUAUCCUCGAGCGAUUGCAGCUAUUGUCUACAACAGGCAGCAGCUGCUUAUAGUAACUGUUGCCAUGGGAAGCAAGGAGGUUAUGUUACGAAGCCUAGUUGUACAUUCCGAUGGGAUUUGUACCCAUUCUAUACUCCUAUAGCUGAACCUCCAACGCCAUCUCCUCAACCUCUACUUAGUAUUUCUCCCUCUUCAAUCAAUAAUACAAUGAAAGGGGAGAAGAGCAAUAAAGCACGGACGAUUGCUAUCAUAGUUGUUCCAGUAAUUGUUGGCACUGUAAUACUUGUCAUCUGUUUCUGCAUCUUUUUAAGAGUUCGGAAGCCAAGGGAGAAUUUUGAAACUGAUGAAAUAAAAAAUGUGAAGUCAUUGCAAUUCGAUUUUGGGACUAUUAGAGUUGCAACAAAUAACUUUUCUGAAGAAAAUAAGCUUGGACAAGGUGGAUUUGGUGCUGUUUACAAGGGUACGCUUUCUGAUGGACAAGACAUAGCAGUGAAAAGGCUUUCUAAAGAUUCAGGACAAGGAGAUUUGGAAUUUAAAAAUGAAGUUCUACUGGUGGCCAAGCUUCAACACCGGAAUUUGGUUAGGCUUUUGGGAUUUUGCUUGGAAGGAAAAGAAAGGCUCCUUAUAUAUGAGUUUGUGCCUAACACCAGCCUCGAUCAUUUCCUUUUUAAUCAAAACAGGCGGCGAACGCAUUUGGAUUGGCACAGGCGUUAUAAGAUCAUUGGUGGAAUUGCUAAAGGACUUCUUUACCUUCAUGAGGAUUCUCGGUUACGGAUAAUUCACCGUGACAUGAAAGCUAGCAAUAUUUUGCUAGAUGCAGAGAUGAACCCGAAAAUUUCAGAUUUUGGCAUGGCAAGAUUGUUUAUGGUGGAUCAAACUCAAGGCAAUACAAGUAGAAUUGUGGGUACCUAUGGCUAUAUGGCUCCAGAGUAUGUGGCUAUAUGGCUCCAGAGUAUGCAAUGCAUGGCCGAUUCUCAGUUAAAUCAGACGUAUUUAGCUUUGGUGUGCUGCUUUUAGAGAUUGUAUGCGGUCAAAAGAAUAGUAACUUCCGUGAUGGGGAGAAUGUAGAAGAUCUUUUGAGCUAUGCAUGGAAAAACUGGAGGGAAGGGACAUACAUGAAUCUUAUAGAUCCUAUACUGAGAACAUCUGGCUCGACAAAUGAAAUGAUGAGGUGCAUCCACAUUGGAUUACUGUGCGUUCAAGAAAAUGUGGCUGAUAGGCCAAACAUGGCAUCAGUAGUUCUGAUGCUAAGCAGCUAUUCUCUUACUCUACCUGUACCCUCAAAACCAGCAUUUUUUAUGCACAGCAGCACUCAA